rnacentral:rRNA from 1 species
AGCGAACGCUGGCGGCAGGCCUAACACAUGCAAGUCGAACGAACUCUUCGGAGUUAGUGGCGGACGGGUGAGUAACACGUGGGAACGUGCCUUUAGGUUCGGAAUAACUCAGGGAAACUUGUGCUAAUACCGAAUGUGCCCUUCGGGGGAAAGAUUUAUCGCCUUUAGAGCGGCCCGCGUCUGAUUAGCUAGUUGGUGAGGUAAAGGCUCACCAAGGCGACGAUCAGUAGCUGGUCUGAGAGGAUGAUCAGCCACAUUGGGACUGAGACACGGCCCAAACUCCUACGGGAGGCAGCAGUGGGGAAUCUUGCGCAAUGGACGAAAGCCUGACGCAGCCAUGCCGCGUGAAUGAUGAAGGUCUUAGGAUUGUAAAAUUCUUUCACCGGGGACGAUAAUGACGGUACCCGGAGAAGAAGCCCCGGCUAACUUCGUG